AGAGAUGACAAAGAGCCACCAAAGUUGACUGAAAGUGGAUUUCAGUUUUUGCUGAUGGAUACUAAUGCACAGCUUUGGUAUAUCAUCAGGGAGUACAUAACCAAUGCAGAGGAGAGUGGGGUGGAUUCUGCAGAUCUUA